CCUACGGGGGGCUGCAGUGGGGAAUAUUGGACAAUGGGGGCAACCCUGAUCCAGCCAUGCCGCGUGUGUGAAGAAGGCCCUCGGGUUGUAAAGCACUUUCAGUGAGGAAGAACGCCUGGUGGUUCAUACCCAUCAGGAAAGACAUCACUCACAGAAGAAGCACCGGCUAACUCCGUGCCAGCAGCCGCGGUAAUACGGAGGGUGCGAGCGUUAAUCGGAAUUACUGGGCGUAAAGCGCGCGUAGGUGGCUUGAUAAGCCGGUUGUGAAAGCCCCGGGCUCAACCUGGGAACGGCAUCCGGAACUGGCAAGCUAGAGUGCAGGAGAGGAAGGUAGAAUUCCCGGUGUAGCGGUGAAAUGCGUAGAGAUCGGGAGGAAUACCAGUGGCGAAGGCGGCCUUCUGGACUGACACUGACACUGAGGUGCGAAAGCGUGGGUAGCAAACAGGAUUAGAUACCCGAGUAGUC
rnacentral:rRNA from 1 species